CCUCCUUUGCCUGGCAAAGCAAUAAAGCUAUUUUUUCUUCCUUUGCUCAGAGCUCUAUUUGGCACCGGAGUUCCCAUCUUGGCACAGUGGAGACAAAUCUGACUAGGAACCAUGAGGCUGUGGGUUCGAUCUCUGGCCUCGCUCAGUGGGUUAAGUAUCCAGCAUUGCCAUGAGCUGUGGUGUAGGUCACAGACGCAGCUCGGAUCUGGUAUUGCUGUUGCUGUGGCGUAGGCAGGUAGCUGUAGCUCCUAUUAGACCCCUAGCCUGGGAAACUCUGUAUGCUGUGAGUGCAGCCCUAAAAAAAAAAAAAAAAAAAAAGAAUCCCUAAAAAGAGUCAGUUUAGUGAAAGUCCUCUAUAUCAGAUCAAAUUCCUCAUCCUGCUCCCUUGAUAUGCUGUUAUCCUGGGCCAGCCUUCAACAGGAACCCUGUUGAGUCAAUCCAGGAAGAAUUUCCCUGACCCCUGAUGGUUCCUCUUAAUAACUUUUAUCUCCUUGGCUGAAAAUCUCCACUUGUCCUCUUUAUAUUCAGAGUUGAGUCCACUUCUCCUCCCUUACUACAAAACCCUCAUUGCAGUAUUUCAUCUUGAAUGAAAUCUGCCUUACUCUAAAAGUAUCAUAGACUUUUUUUUAAAAUAACACCAACCCGUUCACAUUUGUAUCCAGAAGUGGCAUGUCACUUCAAAAGCAGGUCUCUAUUGCUUUCUCCUCCUUCUUUUUCAUGUUGUUUUGAUUGUUUGGUGAACAGAAUUAUUUAGUUUCGUAAGUAAAUUAUAAGUACUAUAAAUUCAUACUAUUUCCACUUAGUGUCUGAAGAAAAUAAUCUUUUAACUUCAUUUCCAUUAAAAUUUUUUUAUAUUAACUCUGCAAUUAAAUUUAGCCACUUUAGAUUUUCAAAGAUAGAUGUAUUUUCAUCUAAAAACUAUUCAAUCAAAAAAGAAUUUGAGUUCCCAUUGUGGCUCAGCAGGUUAAGGACCCAACCUAGUGUCCAUGAGGAUUCAGUUUUGAUCCCUGGCCUUGCCCAGUGAGUUAAGGAUCCUGCAUUGCCCAAACUGUGGCAUUGGUAACAGAUGUGGCUUGGAUCUAGUGUUACUAUGGCUGUGGCGUAGGCUGGCAGCUACAAGUCCAAUUCAACUUCUAGCCAAGGAACUUCUAUAUGCCACAGGUGUGGCCAAAAAGAAAAAGAAAAGGAGUUUAGGAGUUUGCGUCGUGGCUCAGCGGUUAACGAAUCCGACUAGGAACCACAAGGUUAUGGGUUCAAUCCCUGGUCUUGCUCAGUGGGUUAAGGAUCCAGCAUUGCUGUGGCUGUGGCGUAGGCCGGCGGCUACAGCUCUGAUUAGACACCUAGCCUGGGAAACUCCAUAUGCCGCAGGAGCA
rnacentral:lncRNA from 1 species